rnacentral:ncRNA from 2 species
UGAGAGUUGUAUUACUGGCGGGAGUGGGUGAACCACACGGAGUAUGACUCAAUAUAAUGUCGACCGCCUGGGCACUUCUG